CCCAGACUCCUGACCCUCAAGCUCCUGGCCCUGAGUUACAACAGGCCAAGCACACGCAAUCUGCAGACCUAGUGCAUGGACAACAGAGCAGGCACUAAGCCUCCUGCAUCAGCUUUCCGACAGAAUUCACCUGCCACAUCUGUCAUCACAAGAGGCCAAGGAAUGUCACCUGUUCGGUGA
rnacentral:lncRNA from 1 species